UGAGACUGGGGCCUCGCUCGCUCCCGACCCGGUUGCAAGUGUUGCGGUGGGAGAAAGUCGCGUCCGCAUCGGAGGGGAAGCGCCGUCAUGCCUAAGUAUUAUGAGGACAAGCCGCAGGGCGGCGCGUGCGCGGGCCUGAAGGAGGACCUGGGCGCGUGUCUGCUGCAGUCGGACUGUGUGGUCCAGGUAGCGCGGCCGGGCGCUCCCGGUGGUGACGACCCCUGUCCCAGGCAGGCCUGGCUCGGCGGAGGGCAGCGGGUCGCCCGCGGCGGCGGUUGGAGUUAACCAUCCCGGGCGUAGGUCACAGCUCGGGCUCACUGAACGUGCGCAGAUCCACUGAGCUGUCGGAGCCCCAGUUCCCUGUGGGGUUAAAUCGGAGAUAACGAUAAACGCACCCUGUCGGGUUUUUGUAAAGGAAGGAAAAUCACCUCGGCAGUGUUUGAAGGAAGGAUACUGCAACUCUUUGAAGUACGCAUUUUUUGAGUGUAAAAGAUCAGUGUUGGAUAACAGGGCAAGAUUCAGAGGAAGAAAAGGAUAUUGAUGCAUUAUGUUGAAGCCAACAUGGAAAACAACAAAUAUUUUCCCUGGUCAUUAACACAAAGAAGCCAAAACAGGAAACAUACUUUUUACUACAUCUGUUUGGUUGGACCAGAUUUCCCCUCCGUGGAACACUGAAGAAAGUGGAUGAGUUGUUUUCGAAUAUGUAUAAAGUAAAUGAUUCUCUUGAUCCAAGUUAUUUUUAGAAGAAAAACCUAAUUGAACAGGUAUGGGUUG
rnacentral:lncRNA from 1 species